CCUACGGGUGGCAGCAGUGGGGAAUAUUGCACAAUGGGCGCAAGCCUGAUGCAGCCAUGCCGCGUGUGUGAAGAAGGCCUUCGGGUUGUAAAGCAGUUUCAGCGGGGAGGAAGGCGGUGAGGUUAAUAACCUCAUCGAUUGACGUUACCCGCAGAAGAAGCACCGGCUAACUCCGUGCCAGCAGCCGCGGUAAUACGGAGGGUGCAAGCGUUAAUCGGAAUUACUGGGCGUAAAGCGCACGCAGGCGGUCUGUCAAGUCGGAUGUGAAAUCCCCGGGCUCAACCUGGGAACUGCAUUCGAAACUGGCAGGCUAGAGUCUUGUAGAGGGGGGUAGAAUUCCAGGUGUAGCGGUGAAAUGCGUAGAGAUCUGGAGGAAGACCGGUGGCGAAGGCGGCCCCCUGGACAAAGACUGACGCUCAGGUGCGAAAGCGUGGGGAGCAAACAGGAUGAGAUACCGAGUAGUC
rnacentral:rRNA from 1 species